rnacentral:misc_RNA from 1 species
GAGCUUUUAGACUUGCUUAAGUUACGGCAUUCUUCCAGAAUAUAUACAUCUCUUUUCAUCCUCCCAUGAUCAUUCAUCUCCUUUAAGUUUGUAAUGAAAAAGAGACCUGAAAUAGUCACCAAAUCCACAAUGCUCAAGUCACUUCACAUGUUGUUACAAUCCCUGUUUAUUCUCAUCAUUCUUUCUUCUGUAUCUUUCUUCAUCAAUGUUUGUGCUUCCUCUGUAAUUGCAUUCUCUGCUGAUGCAAAGAAUGAAGCAGCAAAAGGUGGUAUGGAAGCUGAUUCUCUUUUGAAAUGGAAAGCCAGUCUUGACAAACAAAGCCAAUCUCUUUUAUCUUCUUGGGUUGGAAGCAAUCCUUGCAAUUGGGUUGGAGUCACUUGUGAUAACUCUGGAAGCAUCACCAUUUUGAGUCUUGCUAAUUUAGGCUUAAGAGAAAUAGAAAAGGAAAUGCUCAAUCAAGUGGGGAAAAUUGUGAAGAUAUAAUGGUGACACCUGACCAUGAUAUGGAAAUACAGUAUGAAAAUAUUAUCAAGGCAACUGAAGAUUUCAACUCCAAGUAUUUCAUUGGGGCAGGUGGAUAUGGAAUCGUUUACGAAGCUCUAAUGCCAUCAGGUCGGGUGUUUGCAGUAAAGAAACUUCAUCCAUUACAAGAUGGUAACUACUCCAACUUAAAAGCUUUUGAAAGAGAGAUUCAA